rnacentral:rRNA from 1 species
UACGUAGGGUGCGAGCGUUAAUCGGAAUUACUGGGCGUAAAGCGUGCGCAGGCGGUUUUGUAAGACAGGCGUGAAAUCCCCGGGCUCAACCUGGGAAUGGCGCUUGUGACUGCAAGGCUAGAGUGCGUCAGAGGGGGGUAGAAUUCCACGUGUAGCAGUGAAAUGCGUAGAGAUGUGGAGGAAUACCGAUGGCGAAGGCAGCCCCCUGGGACGUGACUGACGCUCAUGCACGAAAGCGUGGGGAGCAAACAGG